rnacentral:lncRNA from 10 species
CAAUGCUCUGACAUCUGGGGCCUCGCUGACCCCCUAGAGUUAGCCAAUUUCUAGAGAUACAAGUUGCCAUGACAGCACUUUUCAGAUGCAAACAACCCACCCAAACCAAACAAAGCCUUCUUUUCCCUCCACCUCCUAACUGACCUUGGUGCUUCCCCGUGUGGCUCUGUGUGGCGUGGCAGGCGGUGUCCCCUCCUCCUGGGAACGGCUUCCACUGAGUGACUCAGCGAUCCAGUCUGCUUUCAUAGGUGGCUCUAAUGAGGCAGAAAUUUAAAAAUAAAUAUGCAUUCAUUCACUCCAAGAAAAGUAACAGGCAAGGGUUCACAAGAAAAAAAGAAGUUUUCCUCUGCCUAGCAAGCACACUUCAAGGACAGUUAUAAGAUAAUGCUGUACGAGCAGCCAAGGCCAAAGGAAUGGGCUUCAGACACCCCUCUCCCCCAGAGCAAUGUUGAAGGAAAAAAAAAGAGAAAAAGAUAAAUUACUUUACUGUUACUCCUUUCCCAGGCUUCUUAAACGUGAUUAUGUUUUACAAAUGUCUGUAUUUAGCCAGUUCUUGUUUUUCUUUUGACGCAGCUACAAGGCCACAAAUUAUACACUAUAUGAUUAACUGCUUUUGUUUUACUUUUGUAAGUCUGCUUAUAAAAACCCCACUCAGUCGUUGUUCAAUGCUCAGCUUUUUGGAUGCGAAUCCACUGAGCCAGUGCGUACCUAAAAUAAACAAUCCUCCCGUUC